rnacentral:rRNA from 1 species
GAUGAACGCUGGCGGCGUGCCUAAUACAUGCAAGUCGAGCGAACAGACGAGGAGCUUGCUCCUCUGACGUUAGCGGCGGACGGGUGAGUAACACGUGGAUAACCUACCUAUAAGACUGGGAUAACUUCGGGAAACCGGAGCUAAUACCGGAUAAUAUAUUGAACCGCAUGGUUCAAUAGUGAAAGACGGUUUUGCCGUCACUUAUAGAUGGAUCCGCGCCGCAUUAGCUAGUUGGUAAGGUAACGGCUUACCAAGGCAACGAUGCGUAGCCGACCUGAGAGGGGGAUAGGCCACAUGGGAAGUGGGCCACGGUCAAGACUCCUACGGGAGGCAGCAGUAGGGAAUCGGCCGCAAUGGGCGAAAGCUUGACGGAGCAACGCCGAGUGAGUGAUGACGGUCUCCGGAUCGUAAAACUCUGUUAUUAGGGAAGAACAAAUGUGUAAGUAACUAUGCCCGGCUUGACGGUACCUAAUCAGAAAGCCACGGCUAACUACGUG